CCAAUGGACGAGCGGCUAGGAAUAUCGAUUGGAAAGCAUGCAAAUGUCCACAACAACCGGGAGGUGUUGAGUGCGGAUAUUAUGUGAUGCGAUACAUGUUUGAUAUUGUGACAAAAUACUCAACUCUUGAUAAUUUAGAUGGGGUAUUUGAAAUCAAUUCGUACUCUACCAACGAAAUUGAAGAGAUUCGAGAAUAUUGGGCAAAAUACUUCUUGGAAGAGUGCUUGUAAUUUGUUUUUAGAUUAAGUAUUAUCUUUUGUUUAUAACUUAUUAUUGUGUUGAAAGUAUUUGCUUGGAUUAUUUUAUGAGAUUAUUAUAUUGCAUUGCAUGUGUUAAAAGUAGUG